AUUAGUCUUUUAAUUGGAGACUGGUAUGAAUGGUUUAACGAGAAAUUAACUUUUUUUACUAUAAAACUUGAAUUUAACUUCUUAGUGAAAAGGCUAAGAUAAAUCAAAAAGACGAGAAGACCCUAUAGAGUUUCACUUGUAUAUGACAUGACCUUUGAAUCGGCUUCUUCAAAGGUCAUUUCAUAUACAAGUUUUGUUGGGGCGACAUUAAGAUAAAUAAAACUCUUUAUUCUAAAAAUUUUCAUGAAAAAAUGAUUGAUCCUUUAAAAAAGAUUAAAAGAAAAAAUUACCUUAGGGAUAACAGCGUAAUCUUUUUUGAGAGUUCUAAUCGACAAAAAGGUUUGCGACCUCGAUGUUGGACUAAAAUUUAGGCAGGGUGCAGCAGUUCUGCUUUAAGGUCUGUUCGACCUAUAAUAUUUUACACGAUCUGAGUUCAGACCGGCGUAAG
rnacentral:rRNA from 1 species